GUCACCCAGGCUAACCAUUCGAUGAUACAAAAGUGGGACAAAUUCAGAUGGCACAGCAUAAGCCUUUGAAAGUUGAACUGAUGCUGGAACCAUGGCUAUAGAAGCCAUGUUAGAGCUCAUGGCCUAAGCCUAACCAAAUGAAUCACUUGUUAAAACAAAUAUAUUACCAGUGUCCACAGGAUUUAAACAGGAACCAGAGUUUCAUAGCAAUAUGUUAAAAUUCCCAGGUUAUAAUCCAAAAUUAGCUAACAUAUGAAGAACAAGGAAGAUUUCAACUCACAUGAGAAGAGGUGAUCUACAUAUACCAUCAUGAUAAUAACGUUGGAAUUAUCUGACAGAGAUUUUAUGGUAGCUAUUAUAAAAUGUUUCAACAAACAAUUGUGAACACUCUUGAAAUGUAUGAAAAAGUCUCAGCAGAGAAAUAGAAGAUACAAAGAAAUGGAAAUGUUAGAACUGAAAAAUACAAUAAGUUAGGGGAAAAAGACCACUGGAUGGGUCAAUAGCAGAAUGUAAUGGCAGGAAAAAAAUCAGUGAACUUGAAGAUAAAUCAAUAGAAAAUUUUAAAUCUGAACAUUAGAGAAGAAAGAAUUUUAAAAAAUUGAACAGAGCCUUAGGAUAUUAUGGGAAAAUAACAAAGUGUUAGACAUUUAAACAAGAACCAAAAUUUCAUAACAAUAUUUUUAGACAUCCAGGUUGUAAUCCAAAAUCUAACAUAUGAAGAACCAGGAAGAUUUCAACUCACAAUGGAAGAGGUAGUCAACAUAUAGAAAGAAUGUAGUUUUGAGAAAAUAUUUGAAGAAUUAAAUGGCUAAAGACCUCACAAAUUUAUUGAAAGACACAAACAUACAGAUUCAGAGAAUCAGAAAUGGAAUAAAUCCAAAUAAAUUUAUGCCCAGAUAUGUCAUAAUUAAUCUGAAAACUAAAAACAAGAAAAAAACUAUUGAAAGCAGCCAGAGGAAAAUGGCUCCUUGGGGGGAGCAAUGAUUCUAAUGACUUCAGAUUUUACAUCAGAAACCAUGGGAGUAAGAAUAAAGAAGAAAAAACAAUUUGUUCAGUACUGAAAGAAAAGAACUGCUUAUAACUAGCAAAAGUAUUUUUUAGGAAUGAAGGUGACAUAAGGGCAUUUUCCGGUAAAGGAAAAACUAAGAAUAUCUGUUGUCAGCAGACGUGAUCUAAAAGAAUUGCUAAAAGAUGUUCUUAAGACAAAAGGGAAAUUUAUAUCAGAAGAAAACUUGACAUUAAGAAUGAAAGAAGAUAAACAGAAAUGCUUUUGGUAUCAGCAUGGUCUUGGCACAAAAAAAGAUGAUGCAACAGAAUAGAGAACCCAGAAGUAAAGCCACACACCUACAACCAUCUGAUUGUUGACCAAGUCAGUAAAACUAAGCAGUGGGGAAAAGACUUCCUAUUCAAUAAAUGUUGCUUUUAAUAACUGGCUAUCCAUAUGUAGAAGAAUGAAACUAGACCCCUACCUAUCAGUGUAUACAAAAAUUAACUGAAGAUGGAUUAGGGACUUUAAGACCUCAGACUUUACAAAUCCUGUACGAAAACCUGGAAAUACUCUUCUCAACAUCAGCCUUGGCAAGGAAUUUGUGGCUAAGUCCUCAAAAGCAGUUGGCAACUAAAAGAAAAAUUGACCAAUGAGACCUAAUUAGAGAGCUUCUGGACAGCAAGAGAAACUAUCAAGGGAGUAAACAGACAACCUACAGAAUGGGAGAAAAUAUUCACAAACUAUGCAUCCAACAAGGUCUAAUGUCCAAAAUCUAUAAGGAACUUAAAUCAACAAGCAGAUAACCCCAUUAAAAAGGGACAAAGGACAUGAACAGACACUUCUCAAAAGAAGACAUACAAGUAGCCAACAAACAUAUUAAAAAAUGCUCAUAAUCACUAAUCGUCAGAGAAAUUCCUAUCAAAACCACAAUGAGAUACCAUUUCAUACCAGUCAGAAUGACUUUGUUAAAAAGUCACAAAAUAACAGAUGCUGGCAAUGCUAUGGAAAAAAGGGAACACAUAACACUAUUGGUGGGAGUGUGUAAAUUAUUUCAGCCAUUGUGGGAAGCAGUUUGGAGAUUUCUCAAAGACCUGGGAGUUGAACUACCAUUUGACCCGGCAAUCUCACUGCUGGGUAUAUACUCAAAGGAAAAUAAAUUGUUCUGGCAAAAAGACACAUAUACCCGUAUGUCCAUUCUAACACUCUUCACAAGAGCAAAGACAUGGAAUCAACACAUGUGCCUAUCAGUGGUGGAUUGGGUAGAGAAAAUGUGGUACACAUACGCAAUGGAAUACUAUGCAGCCAUAAAAAGAACAAAAUCAUGUCCUUUGCAGCAACAUGGAUGCAGUUGAGAAUCAUCCUGUGGGAACUGAUGCAGAAAAAGAAAACUAUACACCACUUGUUCUCACUUACAAGUGAGAGUUAAAUAUUGGGUACACAUGGUCAUAAAUGAGAACAGUAGACACUGGGGAAUACAAGAGGGGGAGGAAGGGAAAGGAGUAAGGGUUGAAAAAUAACUACUUAUUAGAUACUGUGCUCACCACCUGCAGGAGGGAUUCAUUUGUACUCCAAACCUCAGCACCAUCCAGUAUACCUAUGUAACAAACCUGCGCAUAUACCCCCAGAUUCUAAAAUAAAAGUUAAAAAAAAUUCAAAUAACCCAAAA